AUGGGCUGAAGCUUUGAGAAAAAAGAAUGAAAAAUGAAAUGUGAGAUCUUAAACUUUGAUGGUGUGUAGGGUCUUUUUGUUUGUCUAUGCAUUUUUCAAGUGAAUUUUAGUACUUUUGAUUUUUCUAUUGAUAUUUUGUUUAUGGUUGCUAUUGAGUUGCUUUGAUUGAAGGAUAGAGGGAAGUGAUUAUUGAUAAUUAUAGGUAUGUUUUCCUUAGUAUUUGAACAUUUUUGUAUUCGUAGCAACCUAACUUUGUUGUUUCUCUUAGUUUGGUUGUGAUUUGAGUAUUUUAUAUUUGGGGUUCAGGAAAGGCAGUAUUUGUUGAAGGAAUUCCCCGUGAACUGGUUUCUUGUAAGAAGUAUUGUAAAGUUUUGAAGGUUGGGUUGUGGUAAUGGAAGCACCGUUAUUCCAAUCUUGCGGUAACCUCCAACCAAGCUAAUUUUAAAGGUGUCAAGUGUAUUUUGAUGUAUUUUGAUUUUGGGGAAGAAUUCAGAUGACAAAAGCAUCAAGAAGUCGAUCGUCGGUCUGGAAAGUUAGUGAUAAACAUCCAGGUUGGAUAUGCUUCAGCUGAGACUUUUUAGUUCAAUAGAGAAUCAUACAACAUUUUAGUUGGAGGUAUAUCUUUUCUGUUAAAUUUUUCAUGUAGGAUUUUGAUAUUUUUUUUUUCGAUGCAGAUGGUCGUAUCAGGUACGAUUUUCUCAAAUAAUUCUCGGAUUUUUGUUUUUCGCUCAUUAACUUGUUUAAUUUGUUACUGAAUUCUACCUUCCAAUUCUACCAAUAAUAUUCAACCAGGUAUUUAUUUGGAUUAAAUUUGCUGAGAUAAAAUUUCUAUGGCUGGGCUGGGAUGCAGGGGGAGGAAUUCAUUAGGUUGUUAUUAGCAAAUACCACUAUUUGUUGGGCUAGGAUGCAUAUUGGUGCUUAAAAACUCUUUCUUCACUCAACAAAUUUUAUCAAUGCUUUUAACUCAUUCCUCCAUUUGUUCAUGGAAUUAUGUAAUGAUGAUUUGAUGUAAAUCCUUACUAAUUAAGAAUCUUGGCUACAAUCUUCUUGGCUUGACAUUCAGCUAAGUUAAAGUUAAUUGUGAAAUCUUCAUUUCUUUCA